rnacentral:misc_RNA from 1 species
UAACCUCAAUUCAUCAGCUUUGCGGUUGCUUGGAUUGGAUUUGGAAGUCUGCUGGCCCCUCUUGGGGUUGGCUCUUCUUGAAUGCAUGAGUGAGCAUCUGGCUCGCGUUGCUGAUGUGAUAGUCUUUCAUCAUUGGCUGCGCUUGUCUAACGGGCUUGCUUUCGAACCGUCUUCUCAAUGGAGACAACGUUUUUGACAUU